GAUGAACGCUGACAGAAUGCUUAACACAUGCAAGUCGAUUCGAUUUACCUUCGGGUAUUGAGGAUGGCGGACGGGUGAGUAACGCGUAAGGAACUUGCCUCUUGGUCUGGGACAACUGUUGGAAACGACAGCUAAUACCGGAUAUUAUGAGAUUCUCGCAUGGGAAACUUAUGAAAGCUAUAUGCGCCAAGAGAGAGCCUUGCGUUCCAUUAGCUAGUUGGUGGGGUAACGGCCCACCAAGGCGACGAUGGAUAGCCGGCCUGAGAGGGUGAACGGCCACAAGGGGACUGAGACACGGCCCUUACUCCUACGGGAGGCAGCAGUGGGGAAUAUUGGACAAUGGGCCACAAGCCUGAUCCAGCAAUUCUGUGUGCACGAUGAAGGUCUUCGGAUUGUAAAGUGCUUUCAGUUGGGAAGAAGAAAGUGACGGUACCAACAGAAGAAGCGACGGCUAAAUACGUGCCAGCAGCCGCGGUAAUACGUAUGUCGCAAGCGUUAUCCGGAUUUAUUGGGCGUAAAGCGCGUCUAGGCGGAAAAAUAAGUCUGAUGUUAAAAUGCGGGGCUCAACUCCGUAUUGCGUUGGAAACUGUUUUUCUAGAGUACUGGAGANGUGGGCGGAACUACAAGUGUAGAGGUNAAAUUCGUAGAUAUUUGUAGGAAUGCCGAUGGAGAAGUCAGCUCACUGGACAGAUACUGACGCUAAAGCNCGAAAGC
rnacentral:rRNA from 1 species